CCCUAGUAACGGCGAGUGAAGCGGCAACAGCUCAAAUUUGAAAUCUGGCUCUCGGGCCCGAGUUGUAAUUUGUAGAGGAUGCUUUUGAUGCGGUGCCUUCCGAGUUCCCUGGAACGGGACGCCAUAGAGGGUGAGAGCCCCGUCUGGUUGGAUGCCAAAUCUCUGUAAAGCUCCUUCGACGAGUCGAGUAGUUUGGGAAUGCUGCUCUAAAUGGGAGGUAUAUGUCUUCUAAAGCUAAAUACCGGCCAGAGACCGAUAGCGCACAAGUAGAGUGAUCGAAAGAUGAAAAGCACUUUGAAAAGAGAGUUAAAAAGUACGUGAAAUUGUUGAAAGGGAAGCGUUUAUGACCAGACUUGGGCUUGGUUAAU
rnacentral:rRNA from 1 species